GAAUGUUUCAGCAGUUCCUGAGCAUAACUUACAAUAUCAUCUUGGAUGCGGUUCUGUGUACACAUGUGUACACAUGGCCCACCCACCUGAGCCUUUGCUUUAAAAGGUCCGCUAUGAAAAUCUCAGAACAGCUUUGCUUGUGA
rnacentral:lncRNA from 1 species